CGCGCUAAUAGAUGAGCCUGCGUUAGAUUAGCUAGUUGGUGAGGUAAUGGCUCACCAAGGCGACGAUCUAUAGCUGGUCUGAGAGGACGAUCAGCCCACACUGGGACUGAGACACGGCCCAG
rnacentral:rRNA from 1 species